rnacentral:rRNA from 1 species
AAUGCAGUCGAGCGAAAGACGAGGAGCUUGCUCCUCUGACGUUAGCGGCGGACGGGUGAGUAACACGUGGAUAACCUACCUAUAAGACUGGGAUAACUUCGGGAAACCGGAGCUAAUACCGGAUAAUAUAUUGAACCGCAUGGUUCAAUAGUGAAAGACGGUUUUGCUGUCACUUAUAGAUGGAUCCGCGCCGCAUUAGCUAGUUGGUAAGGUAACGGCUUACCAAGGCAACGAUGCGUAGCCGACCUGAGAGGGUGAUCGGCCACACUGGAACUGAGACACGGUCCAGACUCCUACGGGAGGCAGCAGUAGGGAAUCUUCCGCAAUGGGCGAAAGCCUGACGGAGCAACGCCGCGUGAGUGAUGAAGGUCUUCGGAUCGUAAAACUCUGUUAUUAGGGAAGAACAAAUGUGUAAGUAACUAUGCACGUCUUGACGGUACCUAAUCAGAAAGCCACGGCUAACUACGUGCCAGCAGCCGCGGUAAUACGUAGGUGGCAAGCGUUAUCCGGAAUUAUUGGGCGUAAAGCGCGCGUAGGCGGUUUUUUAAGUCUGAUGUGAAAGCCCACGGCUCAACCGUGGAGGGUCAUUGGAAACUGGAAAACUUGAGUGCAGAAGAGGAAAGUGGAAUUCCAUGUGUAGCGGUGAAAUGCGCAGAGAUAUGGAGGAACACCAGUGGCGAAGGCGACUUUCUGGUCUGUAACUGACGCUGAUGUGCGAAAGCGUGGGGAUCAAACAGGAUUAGAUACCCUGGUAGUCCACGCCGUAAACGAUGAGUGCUAAGUGUUUAGGGGGUUUCCGCCCCUUAGUGCUGCAGCUAACGCAUUAAGCACUCCGCCUGGGGAGUACGACCGCAAGGUUGAAACUCAAAGGAAUUGACGGGGACCCGCACAAGCGGUGGAGCAUGUGGUUUAAUUCGAAGCAACGCGAAGAACCUUACCAAAUCUUGACAUCCUCUGACCCCUCUAGAGAUAGAGUUUUCCCCUUCGGGGGACAGAGUGACAGGUGGUGCAUGGUUGUCGUCAGCUCGUGUCGUGAGAUGUUGGGUUAAGUCCCGCAACGAGCGCAACCCUUAAGCUUAGUUGCCAUCAUUAAGUUGGGCACUCUAAGUUGACUGCCGGUGACAAACCGGAAGAAAGGUGGGGAUGACGUCAAAUCAUCAUGCCCCUUAUGAUUUGGGCUACC